CAAAACAUUGGAGUGGGAUAAAAAAUAUAAAAUAAAAUGCAAAAUAUGAAAUAAAACACAAAAUAUAAAAUAAAACACAAAACAUUGGGGUGGGGGAAAAAUAUAAAAACUGGGUGGGGAAGCACCAAAAUAAAGGGAAAAAAUGGGAUGGGGUGGAAUUUUGGGGUGAAGGGUUUGGAUUUUGGGAUUUGGAAUUUGGGGUGAAGGGUUUGGAUUUUGGGGUGAAUUUUGGGGUGAAGGGCUUGGAUUUUGAGAUGCAGGAUUUCAAUUUUGGGGUGAAUGAUUUGGGAACUUUGGGAUGAAGGGUUUGGGUUUUGGGGUGAAGGAUUUGGGUUUUUGGAUGAAUUUUGGGGAGAAGGAUUUGGAAUUUGGGAUGAAGGAUUUGGAUUUUUGGGGUGAAGGAUUUGGAUUUUGGGAUGAAUUUUGGGAUUGAAUGAUUUGGGUUUUUGGAUGAAUUUUGGGGUGAAGGGUUUGGAUUUUGGGAUGAAUUUUGGCGUGAAGGAUUUGGAUUCUGGGGUGAAGGAUUUGAAUUUUGGGGUGAAGGAUUUUGGGAUGAAGGGUUUGGAUUUUGGGGUGAAGGAUUUGGAUUUUUUGAUGAGAAUUUGGAUUUUGGGGUGAAGGAUUUUGGGGCGAAGGACUUGUUUUCUGGGAUGAAGGAUUUGGAAGCAUUUGGGAACUUUGGGGUGAAGGAUUUGGAUUUUGGGGUGAAGGGUUUGGAAUUUGGGAUGAAGGUUUUGGAUUUUGGGAUGAAUUUUGGGGUGAAGGAUUUGGACUUUGGGGCGAAGGAUUUGGGAGAUUUGGGAUGAAUUUUGGAUGAAUGAUUUGGAUUUUGGGAUGAAUUUUGGAGCGAAGGAUUUGGAUUUUGGGGUGAAGCAUUUGGGCUUUGGCAUGCAGGAUUUUGAGUUUGGGGUGACGGAUCUGGAAUUUGAGGUGAAGGAUUUGGUUUUUGGGAUGAAUUUUGGGGUGAAGGAUUUGGAUUUUGGGGCGAAGGAUUUGGAAUUUGGGGUGAAGGGUUUGGAUUUUGGGGUGCAGGAUUUGGAAUUUGGGGUGAAGGAUUUGGUUUUUGGGAUGAAUUUUGGGAUGAAUGAUUUGGAUUUUGGGAUGAAUUUUGGGGUGAAGGAUUUGGAUUUUGGGGUGAAGAAUUUGAAAUUUGGGAUGAAGAAUUUGGAUUUUGGGAUGAAUUUUGGCGUGAAGGAUUUGGAUUCUGGGGUGAAGGAUUUUGGGGCGAAGGAUUUGGAUUUUGGGGUGAAGGAUUUUGGGGUGAUACAUUUGUUUUCUGGGAUGAAGGAUUUGGAAGUAUUUGGGAACUUUGGGAUGAAGGAUUUUGGGAUGAAGAAUUUGGAAUUUGGGGUGAAGGAUUUGGAUUUUGGGGUGAAGGGUUUGGGUUUUCGGAUGAAUUUUGGGGAGAAGGAUUUGGAAUUUGGGGUGAAGAAUUUGAAAUUUGGGAUGAAGAAUUUGGAUUUUGGGAUGAAUUUUGGGGCGAAGGAUUUGGAUUUUGGGGCGAAGGAUUUGGAUUUUGGGGUGAAGGGUUUGGAUUUUGUGGGUGUAGGAUUUGGAAUUUGGGGUGAAGGAUUUGG
rnacentral:lncRNA from 1 species